rnacentral:rRNA from 1 species
CAUUUGUUCUCUAAAUAAGGACUUGUAUGAAUGGCCACACGAGGGUUUUACUGUCUCUUACUUCCAAUCAGUGAAAUUGACCUUCCCGUGAAGAGGCGGGAAUACACAAAUAAGACGAGAAGACCCUAUGGAGCUUUAGCUAACUAGUCCAAAGAAAAACGACUAAACCACCAAGGGACAACAAAACUCUACAUGGACUAACAGCUUUGGUUGGGGUGACCUCGGAGAAUAAAAAAACCUCCGAGCGAUUAUAAAGACUAGACCCACAAGUCAAAUCCACACUAUCGCUUAUUGAUCCAAACAUUUGAUCAACGGAACAAGUUACCCUAGGGAUAACAGCGCA